rnacentral:rRNA from 1 species
AUGAGGCGCUCUGCCGCUGUGCUGAGGGUCGCUGUGGUGGGCCUGUUGGUGCUCGGCCUCGCCCUCCCUCCCCUGGCCGCGGCGCUGCGGCCUCUCAGGGAGCGCGUCGCCUUCGCCGGAGCCGCGGCCUCCUCCGGAUCGUGGGCCGAUGAGCAUGCAUUCUACAAGAGGGAUGAUAAUGACAUGAGCCCAUAUUCAUGGAAUAUUACAGGAACAUAUAAAGGAAGUUGGAGCUUUGCUGGUUCUACAAAUGGUUCUUCUAGGUUUCUUGAGUUCGUGACAUCUAAAGGUGACUCGGUUUUGGAAUUACUGAGUACACCAACAAAGAUAAGCGGGGUACACUAUGUUCAGGGAACAAUAACAUUCCAUGAUGUUAUUGACAAAUCUCAUGAUUGUGGAGUUGCUCAAAUAAGAUUAGAAGGCGUGUAUAUAUGGCCUUUUAGACAACUUCGUAUGGUGGCAAACAGCGGUGCAGAUGGUGAACCGCUUCAAGAAGAGGAUUACUUCUUGUCAAAUCCAUACCAUCUGCUGCGGAUUUUCUCCUCUCAAGUUUUCCAAGAUUCUUCUGAAGAGAAGAACCGAAGGAAGAACUCUCUCACACAUGACAUGGAGAAACACUGUAACAUAGAAAUAGCCGCUAAAGUGGUCCGGGUGUCAUCUAACCAAAAUGGUACUGAAUUUUCUUAUGAGGGAGAGCAUGAGAAGUACCGCUUGGAGGGCUUGAUGGAAAGUCCAUCAGUGGAUGAUGAUGGAGAAUGCUUCUCAUCUAUCUUACUAAAUUCAACAUCGCUGAAUGUUGAAGCUUAUUACAACAAAGCAGUUAACUAUACACUGAUGGUCACUUUUAUCUCUUUUCUCCAAGUUUUGCUGCUUAUUAGACAAAUGGAACACAGCAACACCCAGUCAGGAGCUGCUAAGGUGUCUAUUAUUAUGAUUGGGCAACAAGCUAUCAUGGAUGCAUAUCUUUGUCUACUGCAUCUGACUGCUGGAAUAUUGGUUGAGUCACUCUUUAAUGCCUUUGCAACAGCUGCCUUCUUCAAAUUCGUUGUUUUUUCUAUUUUUGAGAUGAGGUAUCUUCUUGCUAUAUGGAAAGCAAGUAGACCAUUGAACAGUGGAGAAGGUUGGGAAAUAAUGAGGCGGGAACUUUCUGUUCUUUACAGCCGCUUUUACGGCAUUCUUUUGGGAGGAAUCCUUCUCAUGUAUGAGUUGCACAAUUUUUUGCGCCCGCUUCUUUUCCUGAUGUACUCCUUUUGGAUUCCUCAAAUUGUCACGAAUGUGAUCCGGGAUACAAGAAAACCGCUGCACCCCCAGUAUAUUUUAGGCAUGACUGCUACCCGGGUCGCCAUCCCGCUAUAUAUAUUUGGUUGUCCUAGCAACUUCAUGCGCAUUGAGCCCGACAAGAAAUGGUGCAUAGCUGUGACAACAUUCAUGGGUAUCCAAGCAGCUGUGCUGCUGCUCCAGCACUAUCUUGGUUCUCGCUGCUUUAUUCCUCGCCAGAUCCUCCCUGAGAAAUACUGUUACCACAGGAAGGUAGAGGAUAGCACAAAUCAGCCCAUUGAUUGUGUAAUCUGCAUGACUGCAAUUGAUCUCUCCCAGAGAACAAGUGAAUACAUGGUGGCACCGUGCGAGCAUAUAUUCCACUCGGGCUGUUUACAACGCUGGAUGGACAUCAAGAUGGAGUGCCCAACUUGCAGGCGCUCUCUACCACCAGCUUAG